rnacentral:rRNA from 1 species
UCAAUGCCGCGUGCAGGAAGAAGGCCUUCGGGUUGUAAACUGCUUUUGUCAGGGAAGAAAUCUUCUGGGCUAAUACCCCGGAGAGGAUGACGGUACCUGAAGAAUAAGCACCGGCUAACUACGUGCCAGCAGCCGCGGUAAUACGUAGGGUGCGAGCGUUAAUCGGAAUUACUGGGCGUAAAGCGUGCGCAGGCGGUUAUGUAAGACAGAUGUGAAAUCCCCGGGCUCAACCUGGGAACUGCAUUUGUGACUGCAUGACUGGAGUGCGGCAGAGGGGGAUGGAAUUCCGCGUGUAGCAGUGAAAUGCGUAGAUAUGCGGAGGAACACCGAUGGCGAAGGCAAUCCCCUGGGCCUGCACUGACGCUCAUGCACGAAAGCGUGGGGAGCAAACAGGAUUAGAUACCCUGGUAGUCCACGCCCUAAACGAUGUCAACUGGUUGUUGGACGGCUUGCUGUUCAGUAACGAAGCUAACGCGUGAAGUUGACCGCCUGGGGAGUACGGGCGCAAGGUUGAAAACUCAAAGGAAUUGGACGG